CCUACGGGCGGCAGCAGUGAGGAAUAUUGGUCAAUGGGCGGGAGCCUGAACCAGCCAAGUCGCGUGAGGGAAGACGGUCCUAUGGAUUGUAAACCUCUUUAGGCGGGGAGCAAGGCCGGGCACGCGUGCCCGGAGGGAGAGUACCCGCAGAAGAAGCAUCGGCCAACUCCGUGCCAGCAGCCGCGGUAAUACGGAGGAUGCGAGCGUUAUCCGGAUUGAUUGGGUUGAAAGGGUUCGUAGGCGGAUUUUUAAGUCAGCGGUAAAAUGUCCGGGCUCAACCCGGGCCGGCCGUUGAAACUGGGGAUCUUGAGUGGGCGAGAAGCAUGCGGAAUUCGUGGUGUAGCGGUGAAAUGCUUAGAUAUCACGAAGAACUCCGAUUGCGAAGGCAGCCUACUAAACUGCCACUGACAUUGAUGCUCGAAAGUGUGGGUAUCAAACAGGAUUAGAUACCCCUGUAGUC
rnacentral:rRNA from 1 species